rnacentral:lncRNA from 1 species
GGGGGCGCGACGAUGGAGGGAGUGGCUUGGGACCUGCACUCAUUCCCUCUUGUCCCAUACUGGAGUUUGGGGAGCCACUUUCCCGUCCCUCCACUGUGGAGCUGCGUUCCUGUGAGGGAGGAGGCCCUCUGUGGUGGCGAGGGUGAGCUGAGCGGACGCCGCCGAGUCGAAUAAGAAUAAAAGAUUCUGGAGGAGUUGGAGAAGAGUGUAUUCAGCCCCCAAACCACGAGAUCAACAAAGAAAUGCACAAUUUUGAGGAAGAGUUAACUUGUCCCAUAUGUUAUAGUAUUUUUGAAGAUCCUCGUGUACUGCCAUGCUCUCAUACAUUUUGUAGAAAUUGUUUGGAAAACAUUCUUCAGGCAUCUGGUAACUUUUAUAUAUGGAGACCUUUACGAAUUCCACUCAAGUGCCCUAAUUGCAGAAGUAUUACUGAAAUUGCUCCAACUGGCAUUGAAUCUUUACCUGUUAAUUUUGCACUAAGGGCUAUUAUUGAAAAGUACCAGCAAGAAGACCAUCCAGAUAUUGUCACCUGCCCUGAACAUUACAGGCAACCAUUAAAUGUUUACUGUCUAUUAGA